GCGUGGGUCGGCCCGCUGUACUGGAUCCAGUGGGCUGGGGGACACCGCCGCCUUCAUCCCCGCGGGCGGCGGAACGGUCCGGGAGGCGGCGUCCGUCUCCCGGACCGGC
rfam:Actinobacteria bacterium OV320 ctg36, whole genome shotgun sequence.